AGGUGAGCUGUGCAGGUGAGAUGUGCAGGUGAGCUGUGCAGGUGAGCUGUGCAGGUGAGAUGUGCAGGUGAGCUGUGCAGGUGAGCUGUGCAGGUGGGUUGUUCAGGUGAGCUGUGCAGGUGAGAUGUGCAGGUGAGCUGAGCAGGUGAUUUAUGCAGGUGGGUUGUUCAGGUGAGUUAUGCAGGUGAGAUGUUCAGGUGAGAUGUUCAGGUGAGCUGUUCAGGUGAGUUAUGCAGGUGAGAUGUUCAGGUGAGCUGUUCAGGUGAGCCCCGGCUCCAGCGCUGCCGUGGGGUGAGUGAGGCGCUCCCCGGCGCUCCCCCGGGCUGUGCAGCAGGGCCACACCUUUCCUUUCCUGCUCUCUCCACCCCUCAAUCCCCGGAUCCCCGUUCCCGGCUGGCUGCUCGGGAAGGGAAAGGGAAGGGAGGCGGCAGCAGCAGCUCUGCGCUCCGGGAGGAGGCACCGCGGGCAGGGCGAUGCUUUCCCCCGCUGACAAACCCUCAGCAGCAAAGUGACAUCUCUGCGGGGUGAUUCCAGCUGGCCCUGCCGGAAUUCACCAGUUUGCAAGAGAAGGAAGGUCCAAACAAGAGUCUGAGAAGGCAAGCACUGAGACUGUGCUGGGUUUCAGAUCACUGCAAACCCAAUGCUGCAGCCACUCUGCCUUUGCUGUGGCAGAAUUAAAGACCCUCAGCUCAUCUUUUCCUGAGCACCAAGAGCUGCAGAGAGCUCUCUGACUUUCACAGACUGCUUCCUGAAUUCCUGGAGAAGGAAUAAAACCUCUUUUAUUUAAUAACCCCCACCAGGGCAAGGCACUUCCUAAAAUGAGAUGGAACCUGCAGAACCCUCCUUUCAGACCACUAAAACACAAAGAUUUUUCAGAGGAGGAUGCAGGAACACAAAGGAACAGACAAUUUGCCCUCACCCCAGUGACCAAACCUCUCAGGUUAUAAAAGCACAUGUAAAAUAUACAUAUACACAUAAAAGCACAUAUAUAUAUAUAUAU